AAAAAGAAAGAAAGAAAAAAGAU
rnacentral:sRNA from 1 species